rnacentral:rRNA from 1 species
AGCCUACGGGGGGCAGCAGUAGGGAAUCUUCCACAAUGGACGAAAGUCUGAUGGAGCAACGCCGCGUGAGGGAUGAAGGUACAGAGUAUCGUAAACCUCUUUUGUCAGGGAACAAAGGCGGGGACGUGUCCCCGGAUGAGUGUACCUGAAGAAAAAGCAUCGGCUAACUCCGUGCCAGCAGCCGCGGUAAUACGGAGGAUGCGAGCGUUAUCCGGAUUUAUUGGGUUUAAAGGGUGCGCAGGCGGUCUGUUAAGUCAGCGGUCAAAGCCCGGGGCUCAACCCCGGCCCGCCGUUGAAACUGGCAG